rnacentral:tRNA from 1 species
GGGAAUGUAGCUCAGUGGUAGAGUACUUGCCUCUCAUACAUGAGGCCCUGGGUUCGAUUCCUCAGUACCA